rnacentral:lncRNA from 10 species
UAGAAAAACGUCUCAGCCAAGUGUGGUGGCUCACGCCUGUAAUCCCAGCACUUUGGGAGGCCGAGGGGGGCGGAUCACAAGGUCAGGAGUUUGAGACCAGCCUGGCCAAUAUGAUGAACCCCUGCCUCUACUGAAAAUACAAAAACUAGCUGGGCGUGGUAUGGGUCCCUGUAGUCCCAGCUACUAGGGAGGCUGAGGCAGGGGAACUGCUUGAACCCAGGAGGUAGAGGUUGCAGUGAGCUGAGAUUGCGCCACUGCACUCCAGCCUGGGCAACAUGGUGAAACCCCAUCUCUACCAAAAAUAGAAAAAUUAGGCAGGUAUGGUGGUGUGCACCUGUAAUCCCAGCUACUCAAGAGGCUGAGAAAAAAAAAGCAAAUUCAUUAAUUCAUUUAAAAAGCAAUAAGAAGUAUGGGGGUGUAGUUUCCCAGAUGUACUCUUUUGAAGUCCCUCACUGUUUAACAAUUAAAAUAUAAACCAGAGCCCAAAAUUCGUGUCAAAGAGAGAAUCAAAUGGUUGGUACUAUGAUGUACUGUGUCCUUGUGUGCCUCUGAGAUAAAUUAUUAUUUCUAGGCCUCAGUUUCCUUAUUUAUAAAAUGAGGAUGCUCAGUGAGAUCAGUGGCUCCCAGAAUGUGAGACUGGCUACACUGAAUCACUUGAAGGACACAUUAAAAUAUCUGAUUCCCAUUGCAGAUCCACUGAACCAGAUUCUUUGGGUAUUUUUAACAGGUUCUUCAGGUGAUGAUGAUAUAAAGAUAGGCUGGCAACCAUCUGACUAAACGAUGUUUAAGUUCCCAUCUUGUGCCAUACUAAAACUAUUCACUGAACUUUUUAUAUAUUGUCUAUAAUCUCAGAACAGCCUUUUUUUUUUUUUUGCUACCUCCCUGUUGGUGGAGAUACUCAUAACAGCCUUGAAAGACACGUAUAUUACUGUCACAGUUCUUUUUUUUGAGACAGAGUCUCGCUCUGUCGCCCAGGCUGGAGUGCAGUGGUGCAAUCUCUGCAAGCUCCACCUCCCGGGUGCACACCAUUCUCCUGCCUCAGCCUCCCAAGCAACUGGAACUACAGGUGCCCGCCAUCACGCCCGGCUUAUUUUUUGUAUUUUUAGUAGAGACGGGGUUUCA